rnacentral:rRNA from 1 species
AUGUCAUCAGUUGAGUCUCUAGGCCUGUUUCUUUGGAUAGUAGGUUCCCCUCAAUCUGUAAGACAAGCAGAAAACAGAUUUGUUAGGUCAUUGGAGACAAUUGUAAGGAAGUUUGAUAAGGUUUUGGAAUGUCUGAUCAAGCUUGCAAAAGACAUCAUCAGGCCAGUAGAUCGUCAAUUUAGAACUGUGCAUUCCAAAUUAAGAUCUAGAAAGUAUGCACCAUUUAUGGAUAAUUGCAUUGGUGCAAUAGAUGGGACACACAUACAAGUUGUGGUACCAGUUGCCACUGCUACCCAGCAUAGGAAUAGACACAAGGAGAAGAGUCAGAAUGUGAUGUGUGUGUGUGACUUUGAUAUGAGAUUCACAUUUGUCCUAGCUGGUUGGCCAGGAUCAGUGCAUGACAUGAGGGUCUUCAAUGAUGCACGAUCCAGAUUUGGUGACAAGUUUCCAAAACCUCCACCUAAUAAGUUUUAUCUUGUGGACUUAGGGGACCCAAAUAGACCGGGUUAUCUUGCACCAUACAAGGGUUUAACCUAUCAUUUCCAGGAGUACCGUGAUGGCACAAUGCCUAGAGGAAAAAAGGAACACUACAAUUUCACCCAUUCUUCACUUAGAAAUGUCAUCGAGAGGUGUUUUGGAGUCUUGAAGAACAAGUGGAGGAUUUUGUUUCACUUGCCUAGUUAUCCACAGCCGAAACAAAGCAAAAUCAUUGUGGCUUGCAUUGCACUGCACAAAUUUAUUAGACAAAGUCAACUGCCCGAUAUAGAAUUCGACAAGUGUGAUGAAGAUGAAAAUUAUGUACCAUUGUCUAUGCCAACGACCACAACAAAUGAUUCAACAAAUGAGACGGACAGUGCUGCUAUGAAUCAAUUCAGAGCUUGGGUCGCUGAUGGGUUGUGGUCCUUGAAACAACAAUGA